rnacentral:rRNA from 1 species
GUGGGGAAUAUUGGACAAUGGGCGCAAGCCUGAUCCAGCCAUGCCGCGUGAGUGAUGAAGGCCCUAGGGUUGUAAAGCUCUUUCAGUGGGGACGAUAAUGACGGUACCCACAGAAGAAGCCCCGGCUAACUUCGUGCCAGCAGCCGCGGUAAUACGCAGGGGGCUAGCGUUGUUCGGAUUUACUGGGCGUAAAGCGCACGUAGGCGGAUCGUUAGGUCGGGGGCGAAAUCCUGGAGCUCAACUACAGAACUGCCUUCGAUACUGGCGAUCUUGAGUCCGGAAGAGGUGAGUGGAACUCCUAGUGUAGAGGUGGAAUUCGUAGAUAUUAGGAAGAACACCAGUGGCGAAGGCGGCUCACUGGUCCGGUACUGACGCUGAGGUGCGAAAGCGUGGGGAGCAAACAGGAUUAGAUACCCGUGUAGUCC